UUAAGUUCAGCGGGUAUUCCUACCUGAUCCGAGGUCAACCUUGAUAUAAAGAGGCUUGUGGCAGGCGCCCGUCCAGCACCCGAAGCGACGUAAAGUACUACGCUCGGAGCCGGGGCCGGGGCCGCCGCUGUCUUUCGGGGGCUGCGGUGCGCAGGCCCCCAACACCAGGCGGAGCCUGAGGGUGGAAAUGACGCUCGAAC
rnacentral:misc_RNA from 1 species